rnacentral:rRNA from 1 species
CCAAUAGCGUAUAUUAAAGUUGUUGCAGUUAAAAAGCUCGUAGUUGAAUUUCGGGAUUCGUCCAUUGGUCAGGCUUAACUGUCUGUACUGGUGUGUCGGAUUUCUACCUUCUGAAGAACCUUCAUGCCAUUAAUUUGGUGUGUUGGGGAAUCAGGACUGUUACUUUGAAAAAAUUAGAGUGUUUAAAGCAGGCUAACGUCUGAAUACAUUAGCAUGGAAUAAUGAAAUAGGACGGUACGGUUCUAUUUUGUUGGUUUCUAGGAUCGCCGUAAUGAUUAAUAGGGAUAGUUGGGGGCAUUAGUAUUCAAUUGUCAGAGGUGAAAUUCUUGGAUUUAUUGAAGACUAACUACUGCGAAAGCAUUUGCCAAGGAUGUUUUCAUUAAUCAAGAACGAAAGUUAGGGGAUCGAAGACGAUCAGAUAACGUCGUAGUCUUAACCAUAAACUAUGCCGACUAGGGAUUAGACAAUGUUAAUUUUUUAAUGACUCGUUCGGCACCUUACG